ensembl:snRNA U6 U6 spliceosomal RNA
GUGCUUGCUUCGGCAGCACAUACACUAAAAUUGGAACAAUACAGAGAAGAUUAGCAUGACCCACGCACAAGGAUGACAUGCAAAUUUGUGAAGUAUUCCAUAUUUUU